rnacentral:rRNA from 1 species
UACGUAGGGUGCAAGCGUUAUCCGGAAUUAUUGGGCGUAAAGAGCUCGUAGGCGGUUUGUCGCGUCUGCUGUGAAAACUGGAGGCUCAACCUCCAGCCUGCAGUGGGUACGGGCAAACUAGAGUGCGGUAGGGGAGAUUGGAAUUCCUGAUGUAGCGGUGGAAUGCGCAGAUAUCAGGAGGAACACCGAUGGCGAAGGCAGAUCUCUGGGCCGUAACUGACGCUGAGGAGCGAAAGCAUGGGGAGCGAACAGG